AUCCGCAUCUACAGCAUGAGGUACUGCCCCUUCGCUCAGAGGACGUUGAUGGUCCUGAAGGCCAAGGGAAUCCAGCACGAAGUCAUCAAUAUCAACCUGAAGAACAAGCCGGAGUGGUUCUUUAAGAAGAAUCCCUUUGGGCUGGUGCCGGUUCUGGAGAAAAGCCAGGGUCACUUGGUCACCGAAUCCGUUAUCACUUGUGAGUACCUGGAUGAGGCAUACCCAGAGAAGGGUUUAUUUCCAGAUGACCCAUACGAGAAGGUGUGCUAGAAGAUGACCUUUGAGUUAUUCUCUAAGGUGCCGUCAUAGGUUACAAGCUUUAUCGGGGCGAAGAGAAAGGAAGACUAUCCGAGCAUAAAGAAAGAAUUGAAGAGAGAAUUAAGAAAGCUAGAGGAGGCUAUGGCUAAUAAGAAGACAGCCUUCUUUGGUGGGGAUUCUCUUUCUAUGAUUGAUUAUCUUAUUUGGCCUUGGUUUCAAUGACUGGAAGCAUUGGAGUUCAAUGAGUGUAUAGCUCACACCCCAAAACUCAAGCUCUGGAUGGCAGCUAUGCAGGAAGACCCGGUAGCAUCCUCCCACAUCAUUGAUGCCAAGAACUAUCGUGAUUACUUAAGUCUCUACCUACAGGACAGCCCCGAGGCCUGUGAUUAUGGGCUCUGAAGGGCAAAAGCCCUCAGUGAGUGCUGUUUCCCCUCAUUGAUUGAAUAACAUGCUUAUUUU